rnacentral:misc_RNA from 1 species
CUCAAUAUAGUUUUUAAAUACAAACCCCUUAUUCGUGCAGCUUGUCUCUCUCCUGUGACAAUCCAACAAGCCACCUGAAAAAAUGAGGCUACAGCAGACCCUACUGCCAAGUAUACAAAUUUUAGAGACACCUUUGAAACUACAUGUACUACAUCUUUAUUCUGGUUUUCUCCGAAGGCAUUAAUCGUAUCUCCAAGGAAUACCGUCAUAAGGGGCAGACAAAUCCCAUUCCCAAUAGCACCAAUCGUGCCCACAAUCA